rnacentral:SRP_RNA from 1 species
AGAUAGAUGGAGAGUUAGCGGUGCUCUGUAACCUACAAUCCGCUAUAGUAGGAUUGAACACUUGCCUGCGGUUUGAUAUUGUCAAAUAUGAGUAUAAAGAUUUGGCGUUGAAAUCAAGGUCUUAUGCAAUCAAAAUCUCUGAACCGUGUCAGAGCUUGACGGCAGCAUCACUAAGGGGACACUUUGAUGUGCCAUAAGGAAGCUUUGGUGGAGUUAAUUCUUU